rnacentral:rRNA from 1 species
UGAAUGUCAAAACGACUCUCGGCAACGGAUAUCUCGGCUCUCGCAUCGAUGAAGAACGUAGCGAAAUGCGAUACUUGGUGUGAAUUGCAGAAUCCCGUGAACCAUCGAGUCUUUGAACGCAAGUUGCGCCCGAAGCCUUCUGGCCGAGGGCACGCCUGCCUGGGCGUCACGCAUCGCGU